rnacentral:snRNA from 1 species
UUUUUUUCGCAGUGGCAGUAUCGUAGCCAAUGAGGUUUACCCAAGGUGUGAUUAUUGCUAAUUGAAAACUUUUCCCAAUACCCCACCAUGACGACUUGAAAUAUAGUUGGCAUUGGCAACUUUUGGCAGUCUAUGGGA